rnacentral:rRNA from 1 species
CCCUUAGAUGUUCGGAGCCGCACGCGCGCUACACUGAAGGAAUCAGCACGUCUUUCUCCUUGUCCGAAAGGACUGGGUAACCCGCUGAACCUCCUUCGUGCUAGGGAUUGGGGCUUGUAAUUCUUCCCCAUGAACGAGGAAUUCCCAGUAAGCGCGAGUCAUAAGCUCGCGUUGAUUACGUCCCUGCCCUUUGUACACACCGCCCGUCGCUACUACCGAUUGGAUGGUUUAGUGAGAUCCUCGGAUUGGUCCCGGAGCGGCCUCUGGUCGUGCCGGAGUGCCGAAAAGAAUGUCGAACUUGAUCAUCUAGAGGAAGUAAAAGUCGUAACA